UAGAUUGGGUUGUGUAAAUCCUCUGUGCUU
rnacentral:piRNA from 1 species